rnacentral:rRNA from 1 species
UACUCGAGUGGCGAACGGGUGAGUAACACGUGGGUGAUCUGCCCUGCACCUCGGGAUAAGCUUGGGAAACUGGGUCUAAUACCGGAUAGGAGCCAUCUUUAGUGUGGUGGUUGGAAAGUUUUUUCGGUGUAGGAUGAGCUCGCGGCCUAUCAGCUUGUUGGUGGGGUAAUGGCCUACCAAGGCGGCGACGGGUAGCCGGCCUGAGAGGGUGUACGGCCACAUUGGGACUGAGAUACGGCCCAG